AGAGUUUGAUCCGGCUCAGGAUGAACGCUAGCUACAGGCUUAACACAUGCAAGUCGAGGGGCAGCAUUUUAGUUUGCUUGCAAACUAAAGAUGGCGACCGGCGCACGGGUGAGUAACACGUAUCCAACCUGCCGAUAACUCGGGGAUAGCCUUUCGAAAGAAAGAUUAAUAUCCGAUAGUAUAUUAAAACCGCAUGGUUUUACUAUUAAAGAAUUUCGGUUAUCGAUGGGGAUGCGUUCCAUUAGUUUGUUGGCGGGGUAACGGCCCACCAAGACUACGAUGGAUAGGGGUUCUGAGAGGAAGGUCCCCCACAUUGGAACUGAGACACGGUCCAAACUCCUACGGGAGGCAGCAGUGAGGAAUAUUGGUCAAUGGACGAGAGUCUGAACCAGCCAAGUAGCGUGAAGGAUGACUGCCCUAUGGGUUGUAAACUUCUUUUAUAUGGGAAUAAAGUAUUCCACGUGUGGAAUUUUGUAUGUACCAUAUGAAUAAGGAUCGGCUAACUCCGUGCCAGCAGCCGCGGUAAUACGGAGGAUCCGAGCGUUAUCCGGAUUUAUUGGGUUUAAAGGGAGCGUAGGUGGAUUGUUAAGUCAGUUGUGAAAGUUUGCGGCUCAACCGUAAAAUUGCAGUUGAAACUGGCAGUCUUGAGUACAGUAGAGGUGGGCGGAAUUCGUGGUGUAGCGGUGAAAUGCUUAGAUAUCACGAAGAACUCCGAUUGCGAAGGCAGCUCACUAGACUGCAACUGACACUGAUGCUCGAAAGUGUGGGUAUCAAACAGGAUUAGAUACCCUGGUAGUCCACACAGUAAACGAUGAAUACUCGCUGUUUGCGAUAUACAGUAAGCGGCCAAGCGAAAGCAUUAAGUAUUCCACCUGGGGAGUACGCCGGCAACGGUGAAACUCAAAGGAAUUGACGGGGGCCCGCACAAGCGGAGGAACAUGUGGUUUAAUUCGAUGAUACGCGAGGAACCUUACCCGGGCUUAAAUUGCAUUUGAAUAAUCUGGAAACAGGUUAGCCGCAAGGCAAAUGUGAAGGUGCUGCAUGGUUGUCGUCAGCUCGUGCCGUGAGGUGUCGGCUUAAGUGCCAUAACGAGCGCAACCCUUAUCUUUAGUUACUAACAGGUCAUGCUGAGGACUCUAGAGAGACUGCCGUCGUAAGAUGUGAGGAAGGUGGGGAUGACGUCAAAUCAGCACGGCCCUUACGUCCGGGGCUACACACGUGUUACAAUGGGGGGUACAGAAGGCAGCUACCUGGUGACAGGAUGCUAAUCCCAAAAACCUCUCUCAGUUCGGAUCGAAGUCUGCAACCCGACUUCGUGAAGCUGGAUUCGCUAGUAAUCGCGCAUCAGCCAUGGCGCGGUGAAUACGUUCCCGGGCCUUGUACACACCGCCCGUCAAGCCAUGAAAGCCGGGGGUACCUGAAGUACGUAACCGCAAGGAGCGUCCUAGGGUAAAACUGGUAAUUGGGGCUAAGUCGUAACAAGGUACCCGU
rnacentral:rRNA from 1 species